CGACCAGGUCUGCUUGCAGUAUUCAGGAUGUGGGCGUACUAUGGAUUUAUAUAAUGAUUGUAAAUUAACUGUAUCCACUCUAGGAAAAGCCCAGGGCAUCACUGUGGACACUGAAGACAACUGGUGAAUGAACAGCAGCAGUCAAAUAAGCAAACAAAAUAUAGGAUGCAUAAGGAAUGUGACAGAACAUAUUCUAUUGGCAUUAUGAAUGGGUCAUCCUCAUCUGGACUACAGGGUGGUAUUGGUUCUCAUCUCAUCUCCAGAGAGACAGCAGAAUUAGAGGGGAUUCAGAGACAGGGAAGGAGACUGAUUAAGAUGCUGGGAAAAAAUACAUAUGAAGAGAGACUGAAAAAAUUGGGACUGUUUAGUGAGACAUGAUAAAAUUAUAUAAAUAAAUGACUGCCAUAGAAAAGAGAUCAGAAACUUCUAUAUUAAUAACAUCAGAACAAGAGGAUAAUCAAAAUUGAAAGGUGGCAAAUUAAAAGCUGAUAAAAGGAAAUACUUUUUCACACACACACACACACUGCAUCCCUUAGCCAGUGGAACUUAUUGCUGAGAGUGGAGCAGCGUUCAGUAAGAGACUCGAUGUUUAUGUGGGCUGAUGCUCUCACCCUUCCAACUAUGGAGAUCUAUGUAUCAGGAACGUGUGUCAGCAUAUCCUUCCAAGCUGGAAAGCAUGCCCAAGUCAGUCAGCAGAUGGAGCACAGCAUGCAGGACCCAGGUUGAGUGAGUAGAUCAGUGGUCCCUAACCUUUUUUGUCUGGCAGCGCCAGACGACGAGCCACAGAGGACCAUGGCGGCGGACGAGCAUCUGCUGAAAUGCCGCUGACAAGCGGCAACAUCAAUAGGUGUCGCUGCCGAAAUGCCGCCGAGAAGCAGAGUCCUCCAGAGGCAUCGCCACCGAAAUGCCAAAAAUCGGCAGCAUUUCGGCGGUGACGCCUCUGGAGGAUGCUGCUUCUCGGUGGCAUUUCAGGCGGAUGCUCGGCUGCUGGCCAGUACGUGGGCGCACUUAGACGCCCCAGCGGGCACCCUGGCACCCACAGGCACCGCGUUACAGACCCCUGGGGUAGAUGGACAGAUGUGUUGGGUGCAUCCUAAACCCUCAGGGUGUGUCAUAUGACUUGUCCCCAAACACUGGCUCCACUCUGGUGGGUGAGGAGUAGGGCAAAAUCAAAAACCCCCUCUCCCUGAGAGGUGUGAAGAGCAUAGUAGGUGGAUGGGGCAAUGGAAGUGCUUAUGGCAAAGAUAACUGUCCAGACUCUCAAAGUGACUGAGGUGCAGGGGGAGACUGGGAUAUUAGGACAGCAUAUACAGACUCCAUUCCCAUCCUCCCCCCUGGCUGGGGCUUGGUGGCACAGAACAACUCCAAGAGACAGACUCAGGCUGAGAAAGCAAAUCCUAGUGUAUGCGCAAUAUGCCUCAGGUGGCCAGGCUUCACCAAAUUUGGUCUGCUGGUUGGAUCAUUAACUGGCCUGGAUCAUGUGACUGCUAAUCCAUGCCCCUUGGAAAGCACUGAUGUAACUGCCCACCUGAAUAUUUUUGUUGGUUUUGCAGUUUGGCUUCACCAGGGCCAAAUACUCUACCCUGCCUGCACACUUUUAGAUGGCAGAGGAAGCUUGGCAUACAUAGUCUGCUCUGCACAGCUCCAAACCUGGGACACAGCUACCUUUCCCCAUUCAGCAGAAAAUCCCCCCUGCACCCAUUAGCUCCUAGUCCUCCUUCAACAGAGGGAUUCCCUGCUCCUCAGUGUACGUGUAUGGCCCAUUUAGCACAGAGAGCUCUCCAUAACCAGAUGAAAUUGCAACUUCCCAGUGUACUUUAAUUUCCCAUGCCAAUAACAAGAGCAUUAGGGUUAUAAUCCCAUUCCCAAAGCAGGCCUUGGAUUGAAAACCUGAGUGCUUCUGAAAAGGAAUGGAGGAGAGGGGGAAUGGUGGGUUCCUGAGAGAACUUUUCACCCUGCAAACUCCCAGUGGGAAGAUGAGGUGUUAACAGUCCCGCUGCUAUCACUGGUCUUCUGGCCCGUGGAGGGGAUGAAUACCUAGCUUAACCUUAAUACUCCUCAGGAUUGAGUUUCCCUCCACCAUACUCUCUAAACCUCCCACCACUGUGGUUCAACCCAAGGGGAAGUUAAUUACAAGCCCCACCAGCUGCAGAGGAAGCAAUGAGGCCUGUAAAGGCCAUGCUCUGAUUGGCUGCCGAUUAUGUCAAAGCCCAAAUCUUUGGGAGAAAGGAGAGCACGUAGAUAUGGGACCCUGCACUUCAGUCAUUUACACCAGUGCAAAGUCCUAGCACAUCACAGCAGCAGCAUUCUGCACCCUGCUGGUACUGGUGUCAGAGACCACACAGCCCCCUCUUUCUCCAAAGAGUAGAUGGUAGGAAUCCAGCUGCCUCUAUGUGGCAUUCAAUUGAGAAAGGGGGAUUUUCACACCAAGUCUGGCUGCUUAUUUUUUGUCUAAAUGGGAGCUGCAUACUUUAGAAAAAAACUCUGCCUGCCAGUCACUAUCAAACACCUGAAAAUCUGCCUCCCAGUAUUUAAAUGCAUUAACAAAAGGAGAUCCAAGCAAGGGGAAAGAAGUGCAUCUUUUGCAAGAUAGCUGCCUGGGGGGAGUGAAGGCAUAUUUAGGCCUGAGAGAAGCCUGCUGUGGAUUUUAAAUGUCUGGUCUGAUAACAUUUAACAGCAUAAGUAGAACUGUGUAUGUGUAAGAAAUUGUAAAAUAAUAAUGUUUGUAAGAACAAGAAAAAAUAAGUAACUAAAAAGCUAGAAAAGAUCGGUUUGAACUAACACCAAACUUGUUCUGCCCGUGGAAGGGAGUUAACCUGGAAAUGAGAGCCUAACACAGAUGUAUAAGAAAAAAUAAAAACUUAUUUAUGUUUGUGUAAUAGAGGGAAGUUGAAACUGUAUUGUCCACUUCUGAAGGCGACUAUGAUGAGAUCAACCUGAUGAUCUUCCCACUUGUAACUGAUCACUACUUGCUGAGUAUUUUGCCUUAAUAAAGAUUUUAGCUCCAUCUGCUGAGUAAGUGAAUCUUAAUCCACUACCACCCAGCCUGGCAAUCAUGAGAGGGCAUUAAUACUUGAGCUAAAAAUAGCCCUUCUAUUGGCUCAAAACCACCAGACUAUGCAAGAAACUACACACUGCCCUCUCUUGCCUGUAAAGGGUUAGCAAUGAGCUUAUAUCGAGUCUGCUCCUUUGUCAGCCACACAGAUUUUCAAUGAGCGUAGCUGCUGUGGGUGCAAGCUUCUGCCAAAACAGGAAAAGAGAGAAUAGAUCACACUUGGGGUUCAUCUACUCCAGAAUCUUGUCUCCAAGAGCAGACAACAGCAGACAGUUCAGGGAAAGGAAAUCUGCAGUAGGCAGUGAUGGGAUAACUGCCUCCCUGUAGUUAGAAGUUGGCUUGUGUCCUCAUUGCUUCCAAAACACCUGCUUAUUUUUAAUGUCUUUUCUAAUUCUGGUUAUUCUCAUUAGCUAUGUAAGUGUCUGAUAUCCUGAAUCCUGCAGAGCUUAUGGCCUCAAUGCUGUCAAGUGGGAAUGAGUUAUAUAGGCUAGUUCUACAUUAUCUGGUGGCUUGCAAGAAGUGAACUGUGGUGGAAUUCAGUCCCCCAUCACUUAAAGCUGCAAAUAGAAAUUGGACAUAUCUUUUUAAAAGCUAUGCUUUAGCUCAACCCUAAGCAAUUGGGCUUGAUGUAGAAAUCACUAGGUGUGGUUCUCUGGGUUGUAAAAUGCCAGUCAAAUUAGAUGAUCAGAGUGGCCACCUCUAGUAUGAACAUUCAUGAACCGAGCAGGUGCCUGCAUGAGCAAAACCAACACAAUUGUCACUCACUUGUCAGUUUCUUAGCCCAAAUGCUGACUCAUAUUUAGAGUACUCUGAAUGCAAUAUUGAGGGGCUCCUCCCACUCCAGCUAUUUGACAGUAACCCACAUCUGUAACUCAAUGUUUCACAGGGAGGAGAAGGGCUAUUGUCUACUGCGUAACCUUGUACCUCAAGGUGUGUGUUUUCUGCAAGGGUGGAGUCUUUCUUGAAAGCAAGCAGCAUUAUUAUUAAUAAAACUCAUUGCAAGAGCAGCUAGAGGCUAACCAGCUCAGUCUCAACAUGCUAGGCACUGUGCAAACAAUUGUGUAUUGUAGGAGCAGCUAGGGACCCCAGCAUAGUAAGCACUGUAUAAACACACCACAUAAAGAGAGGCCCCGCAGUAAAGGACUUAUAAAGAGACAUGGCAAACAGAAGGCAGCAUGAUAAGCAGCAGUCACAGCAUCACACUUGCCUAAUGUUGAACUUCUUGUACAUUGCAUGGCAGAGGAGAGCUUUAAGGAAGGGCUGUGAAAGAUGACAUAAGUGUUGAAUGUUUACAGAAAAUGCACAAAGAGCUUAGGUCCACACAUCAACAGUAUUUGAGGAUCCACACCUUAUUUUUGUUGCCCUAAUGUAGCCAGAUAGGCAGUGAUCACUAGCUACAUAAGAAGGAAGUUUUUGGUAUGUGUUAGUUGGAGGAUAAGGGGAUGAUGGCUUUACAGAUUUGGAUGGGGAGCUUUUCCCCAGAGGAAAAGGGCAGCAUAGGCCAAUGCACAAAAGUGAUGGUGUGAGAGAGGGAAUUUAAAACACGAGAGUAGAGGAGUGUAGAAAAUGGCCUCAGAUGGGAGCUGUUGAGGCUUGCCCUAUUUCUGUUUUCCUACUCAUUUCUUCACUAGACUAGAUUAGGUAGCUAGAUUUGAGGACAUCAGGGAUCUUGAGACAGGGUGGCGGCAGCAGGAAACCCCACCCCCAGGAAGAGAACCAGCUACAAUGGCCCACUCAGCAGGCCACAAGGAAGCAAGAUUCAGUAGCAGGAUGGCUAUGAGGCAGCUUUGGAUAAGUUCAAAAAGCUAACAAAGUACAAGGGGAGCGAGUAGUGGUUGGGAAUCACAAUGCCCUGGGGAAAAAAACCCUCCUCAUUCUAAGCCUACACCAGCUCAACUGCUGUGUUUCUUCACUGAGCAGAUAAGGCCCUUCUAUGUCACCUUCAGACAUCAGAAGUUAACAGGCAAGGUACCUGACUGAGAAAGCAACUACUGUGAGUGUACCUCCAUGUACUCAGCUGGGAAUGCACAUCAAAAGCAUUUCUUGUACCCACACUAUUGUGCAGGAUCUCACUCAGGCAUUUACCCAGCUCAGGAGCUUUUCCUCUUUUGCAACUAGAUCAUAACCUGCCACAAGCCACCUCCUCACCCGGCUUUCCUUGCAGACUACAGAUUUGAUUAUAGAGUGGUGCUAGUAAGACAGUCAGAGUAGACUAAACUAGAUGGAAAUAGAUUUGUUCAGGCACCUCCAACUCUGAACUUGGCUCAUGCCCUUCAAGUUUAUCAAAAGAGACAUACAGCAGCUUCUCUCUUCAGAGGGAUUUGACAGAGCUGGGCUGACAGCAGCAGGGUUGCUGCUACAGAGAUCUACUUACCUCCUUGUAUCUUUUUCAAACUGCAACUUCUACAACAAGAGGAAACUGCUGAGAAGCAGUGAGAUCAGCCUGUGGCUCUUUCCCCAUGCAGCAUAGACCCUAUACAACCCUGAAGAGGGAAUUCCACAUCAAAGCAGCAUGAAUAAGGUUGUAAGUCCUGCAACAGCUGACUGCUGAGAAAUUCCUGCCUACUGUUGCCUCUUAAAGGGUAUAGCUUAGACCUAGAUGAUACUCAGAGGUGAACUGGAAGGGACUAAUGCAUAAUCCCAUGGCUGAGGACUCUGGAGACCUGAGUUCAAUUGCCAAUUCAGCUACAAAUUUUUCCUACUGUUACUGAGUCCCUACUCCUGCCCCUUGUCUUGUCUAUUUAGACUAAUCUUUGUGAUAGCUAUAUGUAUUUACAGUGCACACCACAAUGGGACCCCCACUGUCCUUUGAAGUUCCAGGCACUACUAUAAUAGUGGCUUAAGUAUGCGGUCUUGAACUGUUUCAUUCCAUAAAAUCACUCCCACAAGCUUAGACCAGUGCACCAUGCAUGGUUCUGGUUUACACAAGACACAAGUAUACUCUCAUCUGUUACAAGUGUUUAUUUUGCUGGAAAAAGAGAGGUGGUCAAACGAUGCUAAACUUCAGAGAGAAGGAGAGUUACAGGUUAUAUUCCAAAAAUAAUGGUGGGGCAGAAGAGACGACUCCAGACUGCAGGCUAGAACUAAGGGUGGCAGGCUUCGCAAUACUACGUUAAGAUAUAUUUCAUAGUUAACUAAGACUGGUUAUUCACCUUUAAAAACAAAUAUACUAUUAAAUAGGCAAGCUACAAACUGAACUGCAAGAGGAAGACAGUAAUCCCAAGCA